CCUACGGGAGGCAGCAGUGGGGAAUAUUGCACAAUGGGGGAAACCCUGAUGCAGCGACGCCGCGUGAGCGAUGAAGGAUUUCGGUAUGUAAAGCUCUAUCAGCAGGGAAGAAAAUGACGGUACCUGACUAAGAAGCACCGGCUAACUACGUGCAAGAAGCCGCGGUAAUUCGUAGGGGGCAAGCGUUAUCCGGAUUUACUGGGUGUAAAGGGAGCGUAGACGGGGAUGCAAGCCAGAUGUGAAAGCCCGGGGCGCAACCCCGGGACUGCAUUUGGAACUGUAUAGCUGGAGUGUCAGAGAGGCAUGCGGAAUGCCUAGUGUAGCGGUGAAAUGCGUAGAUAUUAGGCUGAACACCAGUGGCGAAGGCGGCCUGCUGGACGAUGACUGACGUUGAGGCUCGAAAGCGUGGGGAGCAAACAGGAUUAGAUACCCGGGUAGUC
rnacentral:rRNA from 1 species